AACGAACGCUGGCGGCAUGCCUAACACAUGCAAGUCGGACGAGACCUUCGGGUCUAGUGGCGCACGGGUGCGUAACGCGUGGGAAUCUGCCCUUGGGUUCGGAAUAACAGUUGGAAACGACUGCUAAUACCGGAUGAUGACGUAAGUCCAAAGAUUUAUCGCCCAAGGAUGAGCCCGCGUAGGAUUAGCUAGUUGGUGAGGUAAAGGCUCACCAAGGCGACGAUCCUUAGCUGGUCUGAGAGGAUGAUCAGCCACACUGGGACUGAGACACGGCCCAGACUCCUACGGGAGGCAGCAGUGGGGAAUAUUGGACAAUGGGCGAAAGCCUGAUCGAGCAAUGCCGCGUGAGUGAUGAAGGCCUUAGGGUUGUAAAGCUCUUUUACCCGGGAUGAUAAUGACAGUACCGGGAGAAUAAGCACCGGCUAACUCCGUG
rnacentral:rRNA from 1 species